CCUACGGGAGGCAGCAGUGAGGAAUCUUGGUCAAUGGGCGCGAGCCUGAACCAGCCAAGUAGCGUGAAUGAUGACUGCCCUACGGGCUGUAAACUUCUUUUAUAAAGGAAUAAAGUGAUGCACGUGUCUCUUCUUGUAUCUACUUUAUGUAUCAGGAUCGGCUAACUCCGUGCCAGCAGCCGCGGUAAUACGGAGGGUCCGUGCGUUAUCCGGAUUUAUUUGGUUGAAAGGGAUCGUAGGUGGGUUGUUAAGUCAGUUGUGAAAGUUUGCGGUUCAACCGUAAAAUUGCAAUGGAUACUGGCAGUCUUGAGUGCAGAUGAGGUAGGCGGAAUUCGUUGUGUAGCGGUGAAAUGCUUAGAUAUCACGAAGAACACCGAUUGCGAAGGCAGCUUACUAAACUGCCACUGACAUUGAUGCUCGAAAGUGUGGGUAUCAAACAGGAUUAGAUACCCUGGUAGUC
rnacentral:rRNA from 1 species